rnacentral:sRNA from 1 species
GAAACAUGUAUGUAUGUGAUAAUAUACACUUAUGUAAGCACGAAGAGCUUGAGAAACCCUUCAUCGCAGAGGAGAAAAAGGCGAACAUGGAGGAAACAGUUACGGGGGAAGAAGCUUCAAUGAUCAGAUCAUCAGUUUGACGAUCAGAAAGCGUCUAUGAAAUCACAAAAGUGUAAUAUCCAUCAUUAUCCUAUCACUUUUACUUCUAGAGCAA